rnacentral:lncRNA from 11 species
CAGCAUAAUAAUCAUCGCAUUGACGUCUUCUAGAUCUGUCAUGAGACUCUUCCCAGAUGGCCUGCUAACCUUUUUAUAAGAAAGUGUGGACAUGAUAUCUCUUCUUCAGAGGAAGUCAAAGGCAAAACCCUUCUGAACAAAUCUUGCCAAGAAAACCCUACGGAAUCCUGGGAAUUAUCAUUUGGUCAGACACUCACGUUCUCCAGCUGCAAAUGAUAAAUGCUCGUGCCUAAAUUGCAAAUCCAAGGAUAUAAAAUAUUGCUGUGGCUUAUGUAACGCUAAUUAUGUAAUGUGAAAGGGACUCAGGAGAGACCUUGUAUGUGGAAUGAUGAUUGCUCAUAAUAACCUGUAUAUCCAGG